rnacentral:tmRNA from 1 species
AUUGUUUGAAUUUUUUGUAAAAUCUCUUAUAAUGGAUAUGUUGGCUUGCCAACUAUGAUACUAAACGUUGGUGCGGAAUAAACGUUGUGGACCCGGGGGCGGUACCCGGCGGCUCCACCACUUGAGACGGAAAUAAGAUAUUUGUCUCAUGCGGCGGGGCCGAAAUAGGAUCGACACGCGCAGUAAAGGCAUUCUUGCGGUAUCCGGCAUUGUAUCCGCCGUUAUCGGGCUAAAUUCAUAAAUGCAAACGAUAACUUUGCGUUCGUAGCCGCUAACGACAACUCUGUUGUUGAAGGUGAAGGUCGUAUCGCUGCUUAAUUUUAGCAGUAGCGACGCUACAAUUGAUUCUUGAUUAAUUAACGUUGGUUAAGUGGGGUCUGCCGGUACCUAGCAACAGAAACCGGCAUU